GAGGCAGCGGGAGAGCUGGAUGCAUCGCUAUGUUCACCAGAUGAGGCUGGCGUUCGGGAUCAGUACCGGGAUGGUAGACCGAUGACCUAAUUGUGGAAACUCUUGUCGAGAGGUUUAUUGAUCUGACAGAAUGAAGGACUUUAUUUAACAACAGCAAAGGAUUAUGGAUUUAUUUGUGUCGAGACAUGUUUAUAUGAAAGCACCAGAACAUCACUGUAUCUGAAGAUCAAAAAGAUGGCUUGGUAAUCUGACCAACAUAAUUGCUGGUAGAGACAUUUGUCUAGUCUGACAUUAUGAAUGUGUUGUUCAGCUUCAGCAGCCUACCUGAAUUCUGUUAAAUGUAACUGAGGAUGAUCUUAGGUUAUAAACUUGUCAUUUGAAUAUGUUUCACAACAAUCUUCACAACACCUUCCCUGAAGUCAGAAAGUGACAAGCUUUUUAUCUGAUAAUACAGUUAGCCAACCUCAUGGAGUGCAACAACAUCAGACAAACUCUCAGCUCCAAUCCCUGUGGUGAGAGAAUGGAACAUCUACAGGAGAUACACUUUGGAGUCGCAAAGAAACAGGAAUGGCUCCAAAAUGGCUGUAGUUCUCUUUGAAGCCAAAGGUGGUCCUUGCCUGGCACUAGUAAGAGUACUCUUCACCCCUGCAGUUCCUAUGAUGUUAUCUUACAUGUCCUACUGUGUGCAACAUUAUCAAUUUUAUAACGGUUGUUGAGGGAACCUUCUGCUAUUUAAGGAGUAUGGUCAUGAGAUUCUAUCAAACAUUUUAAAAGCACACAGCAUUAGUCAGAUAAUUAGUGGAUAAGGAGCUGAGAAACUAUACUUUGAAACUUCAUUAGUUGCGUGACAUAUUUAUAAAUUGUCUGUUUUCAAAAGUGAAGCAGCUCUCCCCAUCUCAGUUCAGCAAUAUUUAAAAUCAUCUUCACAUUGCACGAAAAUAAAAGUGAGCAGCAUGUGCAGUUAUCAAGCCGGAUAAUAUAUGGUCUAUUAUAUUUCCGUGAUGUAUGACAGUCAAUAAGAACAUGUCAUCAGUCAUGGCAGCACAUUUUAAUUGAUUAUAAAUGGCAUGACAAUUUGUGAAACUUCUGGCCCUUCACUCUCUGUCAUUUAGAUCAAGAGUUUCAAAAUUUUUUCUAAUGUAUUGCAUUUGAUCUGGAGGCAUAACUUUGUCAUUCUGACUUGUUAAGGGGAAGGAAAAAAGGAACAGCUGGCUUGGUGAUCAUUAUGUACAAAGUAGGCAGUUUUGUAAAUUAAUAUAAAGGGAGUAGCUAUCACCCAAAAGCACUUAAACUGACCUGGAUGCAAAAAAAGAUGUGUUGGAUGAACACAGGGCCUAUUGUGGUGACACUUUCUUUAUUAAAGUAUAUCUUAGGAACAACUUCAACACUCGGGAUUAAUGCAAAAUUAUUUCCAUCUCAAUUGCCAUGUUUACCCUUCCCUGUCUAAAUCAUUAAUGUCUUGCUGGUAGCCAAGUUCCCCUUAAUUCAGCCCUUUCACUAAUCAGUGGCUAAAAUUUCAAAAAUAUGCUGUACUUAAAGUGAUGGAUUUCCAAUGGAAGUGGUAAAUUUGAAAAGUAGGUCAGCGAGCAACAUUCACAGGCCCACUAGGAGUUAAAUUCUUGAAGUUGCAUUUUUGUAGAAUUUGCCAAAUGAUUAUUUAAAUGAUGAGAUUUCAGUGAAUGUUACAAAUCUAAUUAUAAUAUUACAACGUAGGAGAUUUACAUUAGUUGGAAAACUAACUAAUGAAUCUCUAGUUUUUGAAAUUUAAAUAUUGCUCUAAUAAAAAGAUUACUGUAUUGCCAGAUA